AACGAACGCUGGCGGCAUGCCUAACACAUGCAAGUCGAACGAACCCUUCGGGGUUAGUGGCGCACGGGUGCGUAACGCGUGGGAAUCUGCCCUUUGCUUCGGAAUAACAGUUAGAAAUGACUGCUAAUACCGGAUGAUGUCUUCGGACCAAAGAUUUAUCGGCAAGGGAUGAGCCCGCGUAGGAUUAGGUAGUUGGUGGGGCAAAGGCCUACCCAGCCGACGAUCCUUAGCUGGUCUGAGAGGAUGAUCAGCCACACUGGGACUGAGACACGGCCCAGACUCCUACGGGAGGCAGCAGUGGGGAAUAUUGGACAAUGGGCGCAAGCCUGAUCCAGCAAUGCCGCGUGAGUGAUGAAGGCCUUCGGGUCGUAGAGCUCUUUUACCAGGGAUGAUAAUGACAGUACCUGGAGAAUAAGCUCCGGCUAACUCCGUGCCAGCCGCCGCAGUAACAC
rnacentral:rRNA from 1 species